rnacentral:rRNA from 1 species
UGGGGAAUAUUGCACAAUGGAGGGAACUCUGAUGCAGCGACGCCGCGUGAACGAAGAAGGCUUUCGAGUCGUAAAGUUCUUUUAUAUGGGAAGAUAAUGACGGUACCAUAAGAAAAAGCCCCGGCUAACUACGUGCCAGCAGCCGCGGUAAUACGUAGGGGGCUAGCGUUGUCCGGAAUCACUGGGCGUAAAGGGUUCGCAGGCGGAAAUGCAAGUCAGGUGUAAAAGGCAGUAGCUUAACUACUGUAAGCAUUUGAAACUGCAUAUCUUGCUAACAGUAGAGGUAAGUGGAAUUUUUAGUGUAGCGGUGAAAUGCGUAGAUAUUAAAAAGAAUACCGGUGGCGAAGGCGGCUUACUGGGCUCAUUCUGACGCUGAGGAACGAAAGCGUGGGUAGCAAACAGG